GUGCUCGCUUCGGCAGCACAUAUACUAAAAUUGGAACGAUACAGAGAAGAUUUGCAUGGCCCCUGGGCAAGGAUGAUAGCAAAUUCGUGAAGUGUUCCAUAUUUUU
rnacentral:snRNA from 1 species